rnacentral:lncRNA from 1 species
UUAUUUGGAGGCUGUUUGAAUGUUACUAAUGGCUCUCAAUUACAAAGUGGUUUAAUUCCUGUCUAUUGACCUGUGUGCAUGCACAAAUGAAAUAAUAAACCAUUAUUUAGUAAUCAUUUUCCCAAACCUCUUAUUUUCUAGAUGGGGCUGCUGUUAAAUGAGAGACCAGGAAGGGACAGAGCCAGGACUAAAAUUUAGAUAUCUGCACAUUCAUUCAUUUUCCAUUCAUUUAUUCUAGUCCCUUAUUUGGUAUUCCAACUUCAUCUGUUCAUCUAUCCAUCUGUUCACUCCAGUGCUCUUUGUGUUGAAUCCUAACCACAUGUGAGUGCAUGUCCUGUAAUUAAUUACUGGUAAACUGAGUGUGAGUUCACAAAACAUUUCUAAACCUUUGCACUGAGACACUCCCCGAACUUCAUACAUACAGGCAAAAGGACUAACACUCUUAUCUUAAAGUGUGAGUGUAAAAUGUUGAUCUUUAGCCUAGAGACACAGCAGAGGGGCUCUUGCAGGAUGUUUGACCCAUUUUGAAGCACAAGGAAUAGGCCGAGUCAUUCUGCUCAGUCAUGAGGCCAAUAGGCCAGGCCCUUCCUGAAUGUCGCCUGACCUGAAGGGCAGCGUGACUCAGUGUUGGCUGAUCUCUGCUCCUCCGAGGGUGAUUCCCCAGCUUGGGGCAAAACGGAGGGGAGGCCAGCUUCAAAGCCUCUCUCGGCCUGUGGAAAAGCACAGUUUGGAGCGGGGCGGCUGCCAAGUCCACCACAUGAAUGUUCAUUUUGCUUGGCUUGUGGUCAAGCAACAGCAAAAAAACAGGUUAAGAGUGAGUAAUGGGUUACCCUGGCUCUUGGACUUUGUCAGCAGACACAGAGAGAGAUCUGGUGUGCAGUGAGGGCCAGGAUUCUACGUUGUGGAUCUGUUUUCCAGGCCAGUUUGUGAUCUGAAGCAAGAAUGCUUUAUUGGUUUCUAUCUGAAAUAGGUCUAAGGGAAUGGUUUUAAACAGCCUCUUGAUUCUUUCCUUUGUGCCACUGAAAGAUCACUUAAUUACUAUUCAACUGCCAUGUCACAGGCUGGCUGUCUCUCCUGAGGGCCAAAAGGGACAGAAAUUGGAGAUGGCUGAAGAGUCCAAGAUGGUGUUAUUAAUUUCCUUAAUGGCAGCAGCAGCAGUCAUGGUAAUAAAGAAGUGCAAGGUGGCACAAACAAAAGAUGCCUGGGAAGAGGCUCCAUCUAGAAGUGUCCAAACCCACCAAGGCCAUGUAUCAUCAGUGAUGCAGCCCAGGUUUGAAUUUUGUUAGAAGAAAAAAAAUGUUCUAACCUUGGGCAAGUUUUUGAAACCUCACCAAGAUUGUCUCCUUUCCUGCAAUGAUAGAAGACAGAAUUGCCUUAUUAAGCAAUGUCAUACUUUCAAAGAACAAAUAGUAAGGCUUUAAUACAUAUUGGUUACAUUCUCCUCCCCACCUCUUCUGGAUUACUAGAGGAGAAUGUAAAUUGCUAAGGACAGGGACUAGGUCUUUUUCAUCUCUACACCCCCAAUACUUUGUACAUGGUGGGGUUCAAGACAUGAAAUAAAACUAUGUAUAAAAUAAUAUUAAAAUUUUGGUUUUCAAUGGAGGACACCACAAUAACAUUUGAAGAGGAUGCACUGUAAUAAUCUACUUUG